GAGCUUUAAGGCUGGGCAUCAAGACAAAUUGACGGUGCUGCAGUGAAACAGACAAUGAUUUGGAUCAGUGAGUUAUCCAUGAACCUUGAGAAUCUGUGGAUUACUUCAAAGGCAGUCCUGCCAGAUUGUGGUGUGAACAGGCACAAGCAUGAAAUUAAUUUCUUUCGCUUUUCAAUGCCUGGAAGUGAUGCUUUGACUCUAUGAAUGAACAAGAUGAUGUUUUGGGUUAGUAAAGUUUAUACUUCUAUAAGCUUUUUUGGGCAAUAACAGAAAUGAAAUGGAGUGAACAAUAAUGGAAUUUAUAUAGAAAAACCUCAUCAUUCUUCAAAAAAGAAGAAAUGCAACCAACAGUCUCUGUCAACAGCUCCAUACCACAGCCAAGUAACAGAGCUCUGCCAAUGUUUGUUGAAUCAAGACAUGAUUUACUGUUGCAAAAAUUAUGUUAUAAUCAGUUAAAAUUUAAAUAAAAUACCGCAGUGACAAUACUUAAAAGGUUAUUUAGUAAAAUGAGUAAAAGUUUGUAGCACUGACAAAAGAAGAAAUUAUUCAGUGUGGGAGACUGGAUCACGAUGUAAAAAAGAAUUAGCUUUGCAAUAACGCAGACUGUGACUUUUUGAAGUACAUGACUCAAGUUUCAGUUCUUCAUUUAGUAUUCUUAUGCUUCUGCUUCUAUUAAUCAUCUCCUCCCUUAUGUUGGUUUAUGUUUUGCCUGGUCUGUGUUUCACUCAGUGCUGGAUGGGGUCCCCAGGUUUCAGGAGCACUUUCUGUGAGCACAAGAGUGUAAAAGAAGGCCAGGCUGUGGCUGUAGCUCUGUGCAAAGCCUCACCUUUUCUCAUGGAGAUGCAUGCAGCGCACGGUGGAGGUGUGUCCAUACAAGGUGUGGAUGCAUUCCCCGGUCUCAGCAUUCCAGACUUUCAACGUUCUGUCUGUAGAGCCACUGAUGAUGAUAUUGUCCCUCAUCUGUGAUGACCACACUCCACCUGUAUGUCCAACCAGUGUUCUCAAACACUGAAAAGGAACAUUUUCCUUAGUUACCCUUUUGACAGAGGGGAAUGGAAACUUUAAGAUAAAGCAGUCUUGGAGGUAACAGCCGGCUCUCAUAGCAAGAGCCAGAAGACCCCUGGAGACUUCUUCCUGAUUGAACAAAAAACCUCCCCUUUUUAAAAGAUACUCAUCAAAUUUCUCUCAAUUGUUGGUACUUCAACUAUAAAGAAUUUUUCUUGUAAUCUUCCCCUUUACAAACUAAGCUGUCUUUCCAAAUUUCUCAAUACAAGGACAUGUUUUGCAGCCUUGAGUCAUUUCCCUGGCACUUUCCCUAGUCACUGCAGGAUUUCCAAUAGCUUUUUGAAGUGUACUAGAAGUGGAAAGAGCACACACUUGGUAGUUUUAUCACCAAUCUAUAAACCAUAUAUUUUUGUUGUAUUUUUCUGUUUGUUUAUCCAAGAAACACUGCACUCUCUAAGCCACAGCUACAGCAUCACUCCUGAAAAAUCAUGUUUCAGACCUUCUUCAGACUUUACUGUUGCCCAGGAGAGAAUCCCACACUACAUAAGCACAGCCUCCCUUCUUUGAUCCCAAACGUACAACAUGAUUUCUCACCAUGUACAGACAGUGUUUGCUCACACCUUCUUCUAUAAAACCCCUGUCGGCCCAGAACAAUGGCUUGUCUCUGUCUCCCAGCCUGUUUUCCUUACAAGUAAUGACUAUAUAUGCUUUCCCACCAGGCAGCAAUAAAUGCUAAUUAGCACAGACAAGGAAAGAUCCUUGCAAGACUCCUCUAGAAACAUACUCCAUGAAGAUUCUGCAUUUACUUUAACAACAUGAUCUCUAUAAUUACCCAUUUUCUAACCCAUUUAAAUAUGUGCCAUGUUGAUUUUUGCAUUGUUCUAUUUUCUUCAGUCCUGUCGUGGGGAUACAGUCUUUUAGUGCACACAGCCAUCUACUUCUGCACUAUUAUUUUUAUCAGUCAAACCUGUAACUGCACGAGAAAAGAGGUCAAGGCAGUUUGAGGAUCUCUUUUGCUGUAAUCUAAUGCUAAGUGGCAUUAAUUGCUGUGGCCUUCCUUUAACUGUUAGUUGACUCCUCUUGACGCAGUCCAGUAUUUUUUAUCUGAGAUAAUGUAUCCUAAAUACCCAGUCUUUCAUUGAUGCAUUUUAGCUUUCUAACUGUCCUGUCCUGGCUCUUCUCCUUGUGAUCAUACCUUUUGAAAAUGCACUAAUUUUAAGCCAAAGGUUACUUUAGAAAAAAAACUAAAAAACAAAAACCAUCAAAUACAGAUUAUCUUGAUCAACUCUAAUAAGAAAAACCAUAACUUUGGUAGUUGUUAACAUGUGAGUUUCUGCUGAAAUGUUUUAUUAUCACUGCAUGCUGUAUUUUUAUCACAUGAAUUUUAUUCCAAAAUAUUUUUUCUGCAUCAGUGACAGUAUAGUAAUUCCUGUUGUUAAUACCUGCUCUUCCUAGCAUCCUUGAAAAUGGCUUGCUUUUUUGUUGUACAUAGAUUUUCUGUUCUUUAACAAUUUUUAAACCAAUCUUCUGCAAUUACUGGCUCCUAGCUUAAUUCACUGCUAUCAAAUCCAUCUUUUUCAGUUCAAGGCCAAUGUUCACUUCUACAGUUCUCUUUUUUCUUAUUUCAUUCAAUGUGCUCAUAUUUUAAGAAAUCAUCGUGUUAAAGCAGUAAGAACACAGAAUCCUUAUUUUGGGCUUUACAUCUGUCAAGGGAAUUACUUAAUCAUGUUCAUUUGCACAAACCAACCUUUAGGGUUUCUUUAUUUUAUUAAUUCUUCAGCAUCAAUAAGCAUGAGGGCUGAUACAGCAUGCUCCCAUCUUUCAGACACAAUUUCUGGUUCUCUUAAAGGUUUGGGGUAAAUGGUCACACUAGGUUUUGUAAUUACUUCCAAAAAAUUACUGAGCAGUAAUUGUUAAGUCAUGCCACUGUGCUCAAUUUUAUAUAUUUAAGGGAACGUUUGCUUUUGGGAGUGUGGUAUGUACAAAGGAAGUAUUUUUCAUUUGUGUUUAGGUUGCCCUUUUCAAUUAAAAUAGAUGUAAAUUUCAUUAUGGGAUCCUUCAUUAGACAGUUUGUUGUAGAGAAGCCAACAGCAGCAGGGUGAGGGUGCCUAUGGCUCUUAAUUUUAUUCUUACCCACAGUAGGAUUAACAAUCCCUUCAAGGAUCUUCUGGGCAUGCAGUGACAAAUGCUGAAUACAUCCAGCUUCAACAUUAUGAAGCAGAUACGUUUUACAUCUUAAACAUGCUAUCCUCAGCAGCUGUCCUGUUGUUUUCUAUACCAUUAAAACCAAGCUAAGUGCACACAAUACCAGUUUAAAAGGAAAAAGUACUGUUUCCUCAAGGCCUUUUCGACAUCCUUGGUCAGCCAGUCAUCUCAAAAAAAAACCUGUGGGCUGAGUAGCUGUGAUGUUCUAACAUGACUGAAAUGUUCAGUACUGUCUUUUUGAUUGCACAUAUUGUUUUGCUUCUCUAAGCCAGAAUUAAAUUAUUGAAGCUUAUUAAAUUCCUGCCUGAGCUGGAUCUAAUUUAAUAGGAAAUAUUUAAACCUAAAGCAACUUAAUUUUUUUUUUUUUUGUGGCUCAGCAAUAUAGUAGCUUGGAAAGAAAAACAAACUCUGUACUUGAAAUCUGAGCCAGUAAAAUGAACACUCCAUUUCAAAAACUUGAAAACAAUAGAAAGAAUGCUAGAAGACAAGUGAGAAAGGGAGAUCCAGAGGGGUAAAAGCAGCCUAAGUUAAGCUUUAAGGAAGAUAAAGUAAUGUUUCUGUCCAAAAUCUUUAAAAUCCAUGUCACAAAUGACUCCACAAGAAUAGCAGAAUUGCCAAGAGAACAAGGAUAUAUGCCAGUGGUAACAUGAGCAGCAUUGCAAUUUCACAUCAAGGUGACUUUUUUGAACUGGAGGAAUUUCUGUGUGGGAAAAGGCAACCCACAUGUUUAUCUGGUACAUCUUCCAAGUCCUGCCCCAGAGGCCCUAAAGGGCACCCUGCAGCACGGUCUGAUGGCACAGCAGCAUUUUUGCUGUGCCAGUGCUCUCUGCCUGUGGCUCAUUUCCCAAGGAAUCAAGUGGAGCAGCCACCUCACCUUGCCUGUCACCGCUGACCACACUUUGAGCGUGUUGUCGUCGGAGCCGCUCACGAUGCGGUUCCCGCAGAACUGCAGGCACGUGAUCACGUGGUCAUCGUGGCCCUUGAGCACCUGGCAACCAAGAACACAAAGCAACAGUCACAAUUUAAUGCAGGAGAUUAGAGAGAAGCAGGAGAAACAAAGUGCUCUUCUGAUUCAUAAAUUACAAAGUGCUAGAGUUGCUUCAGUAAUAAUAAGACCCCUUAAUCCCGUGUGUCAAGUCCAAUUUACCACCAGCUGGGACCAAAGAAGGUGUUUUCCUCCUUCCAUGGAGUGAUGCUGCAUUGCUUAGCAGGCACACUACAGCUACUGCAAGCCUCCUAACAGCACCAGGAAAAAUCACUAACAAAAGUGGGCUGAAUUAGUAACUGGACAUUGCUCAAUUCCUCUGCAGUUACUCCAUCUCUUUAUUUUUCAGUUGAGUUACUGCUACCUUUUGGUUCAAUCUUGAAUAAAAAGGAUGGGCUGAUUGUUUGCUGAGUAUUUGUAUUUCAGUGGUGAACGCUGACUACAUCUAUUUUUUUUCCCUUACCAGCCAAGCAUUGUAUUGUGUUAAAUGCCAGGCAGCACCAAAGUCAAAAACUAGAAAACCAUUAACUCAAUUAAAUACAAACAAAAGCACCAAUUUCAUGUGCUGGGAAUGUGGACUGGAAUGUUGCUUUAUAGAGGUGGGAUUGUCAAUGCUUGAUUUUGGAAAAACUGUAAUUCUGUAUACAGCAAAAAAAAAAAUCCUUAGCAGAAUACAUAGGAUGAAGAAUUUUUUAUUUAGGAUAUCCGAACACUUUCCAAGAUGUUCAUUGAAAUGAAAUGGCAUUUGGAUAAUGCCAGAGGCUGUAAUUUUAAUAAUAAUUCCAAGGUAACUUGAUGUGGCAUAUCAAGGCAAGAAAUACAGAACCGUUGCCAGAGAUGUACAUAAGUCAUGGCCAAAUAAACAGCAGGAUACAGCCAUAGGUUUUCCAUGGGUAUUCUUUUGUUCUUAUUUUAUUUUGUUGUUUUUAAUUAAGAAAGCAGGUAAAUUGCCUUAAAACCUUAAAAAGCCAUGAGUAUGGGUUUUCUUCACAUUUCUGGCUGCUUGUUCAUUAUCAGGUUUGAUUAGAGAGUUGCUAUUUUUAUUUACAAAAGGUUUGAAAUAUUGCUUCAUAUCUUCAUAUUGGAAAGGAUGUAGUGAUAAAUAUAAACGUCAUUAAAAUAAUUUUAACAUUCAGAAAACCCCCCCAAAUCCUAACACAGAAUGAAGUUAUUGUCUUGUGCUGCUCAAUUUAGAAGAAUACAUUUAAAAAUAAAGCAUGAAUUGAUCACA